UCCCCCUCCCACAGGUUUGCUCUGGGAAUCACCUCUGCCUCCGACCUUGGCCGGACCCCCUUCGGGCCAGGGUUCGCAGCCGUGGAUGUGCCUGCCUCGGGGCUCUCCCGAUUUGCACGGUGACUUGAUUACACGCUCGCAUUCAUGGUCACUUCCGAAGCGCUUUAGUGCCUUCCGUCCCUAAACCGCCAACAACCCAGGCGGCUUCCCCCGCGGUUUGCUAGGGAUCCGCAGGUCCCGGAAGGGCCUUCGUCUUACCCGGGAUCUAACUCCCUUUCAUGCUCUCCGCCGGCCUCCUCACCCAACCCCCUGUCCUUGGAGAAACUCCCUCCUCCUCGCUCGCUGCCCGCCUGGGGUUUGGAGUUCCUCGGCAUAGCCAUAGGUGCUGGCGCUGCAUCGCUGCGCACCAGUCUGCCCGCCCGCCUGAUCUUUUGGAGCUGAGAACUCGGCAAACCCUGCAGUUGAGGCGAGACUUGGGCGGCUUUGGAGGAGCUGCCAAUCCGAGGAGCCUUCUCCUGGGGUUGACUGGACAAUGUUUCUGAGAAAUGAGAAAAAAGGACAGAAGUGAAAGAAGAGGGCACAGAGCAGCCAGGCAGGGCCAGGAGCUGGGAGGGGCCCCCGCCAGGAGGCCUCACCACACCUAUCUUCUUGGAAAGAGCUGGAUGUUGCUGAAGAAAAGUCAAAAAAUGAAAAAGGAUAAACUUUUCCCUUUCCCCAUCCAGGAAAUAGCCAAAGGAAACUCAACCGCCUGAGUCCACCAAGCUCAGGGGAAGACCCCAUGGAGACUAAGAUUGCUUUGAAAGGCCAAGUCCGAGUUUGUAUUUCUUGAAGAGGCCUGGACGGAGAAGGCUGUGCUGUUGGCCCUGGUGACCAGUUGAUCACGAGCUGUUCUUUCUCAGGAGCUGCACCAAGCGGGGGCCAUCUCCAGAAAACAGUCUUCAGCGUGUGUUUCCUUUUAUCGUCAUCCCGGAGCCCCAGGGCAGCUAAUGCAAGAGGCCAAAAAUGUUUUGGAGGAAGAAAAACAAAGGCAGGAAGUGGCGGCCGCCUGACGGUGCGUGUGUGUCUGCUGAGAAGGGAGGGAGCCGUUUCAAUCUCUUCUCGUUGUUUUUCCAAACUUCAAGGUCUACGCAGCCCUCGCAGGGCCGGGUCCCGUCGCUCCCAGCGCAGUAUUUGGAGGUGGCCACCCGGAGAGGAGAAGGCGGGCUCCCUCGCUGGUCUUGUCAGGCGGAAACGGCUAACGAGGCGAUUUGCUCAGCAAAGGGAGCAAAUCCGAGGCUCCGUUUGAUUUGGCCCUAAAGGUGGGGGGGUUGGGGGGGCUGUUCUGCAGCGCUUCCCGGAUCCUCCUCGGCUGGCUGAGUGCGCCAUGGCCGGGACGAUUCCUGCGCGUACUUGCGCUCAAGCGCCUUCCCAGGCGGGAUAUCGGAAUAAAGAGUGUCCAGGUACCUCUG